rnacentral:rRNA from 1 species
AACGAACGCUGGCGGCGCGUUUCAAGCAUGCAAGUCGAACGGCAGCAGUAGCAAUACUGUGAGAGUGGCGAACGGGUGAGUAACACGUAGGUGAUCUGCCUUUAGGUUGGGGAUAGCCUGUGGAAACACAGGGUAAUACCGGAUAAGCUUUCCCGGUUCUGACUGGGAAAGGAAAGAUGCUUCGGCAUCGCCUGAAGAUGAGCCUGCGGUCCAUUAGCUAGUUGGCGGGGUAAAGGCCCACCAAGGCGACGAUGGAUAUCCGGCCUGAGAGGGUGAACGGACACACGGGGACUGAGAUACGGCCCAGACUCCUACGGGAGGCAGCAGCUAAGAAUCUUCGGCAAUGGACGAAAGUCUGACGGAGCGACGCCGCGUGGAUGAUGAAGGCCGAAAGGUUGUAAAAUCCUUUUUUCAGUGAAGAAUAAUGGUGGGAGGAAAUGCCCAUCAGAUGACAUUAACUGAGGAAUAAGCCCCGGCUAAUUACGUGCCAGCCGCCGCCGUAA